GAUCCAUGGCUCAGAGCGAACGCUGGCGGCAGGCCUAACACAUGCAAGUCGAACGGACCCUUCGGGGUUAGUGGCGGACGGGUGAGUAACACGUGGGAACGUGCCUUUAGGUUCGGAAUAGCUCCUGGAAACGGGUGGUAAUGCCGAAUGUGCCCUUCGGGGAAGAUUUAUCGCCUUUAGAGCGGCCCGCGUCUGAUUAGCUAGUUGGUGAGGUAACGGCUCACCAAGGCGACGAUCAGUAGCUGGUCUGAGAGGA
rnacentral:rRNA from 1 species